UGGAUCCAGACUUUGAUUAUGGCUCAGGAUGAACGCUAGCUACAGGCUUAACACAUGCAAGUCGAGGGGAAACGACAUCGAAAGCUUGCUUUUGAUGGGCGUCGACCGGCGCACGGGUGAGUAACGCGUAUCCAACCUGCCCACCACUUGGGGAUAACCUUGCGAAAGUAAGACUAAUACCCAAUGAUAUCUCUAGAAGACAUCUGAAAGGGAUUAAAGAUUUAUCGGUGAUGGAUGGGGAUGCGUCUGAUUAGCUUGUUGGCGGGGUAACGGCCCACCAAGGCUACGAUCAGUAGGGGUUCUGAGAGGAAGGUCCCCCACAUUGGAACUGAGACACGGUCCAAACUCCUACGGGAGGCAGCAGUGAGGAAUAUUGGUCAAUGGGCGAGAGCCUGAACCAGCCAAGCAGCGUGCAGGAUGACGGCCCUAUGGGUUGUAAACUGCUUUUAUAAGGGAAUAAAGUGAGCCUCGUGAGGCUUUUUGCAUGUACCUUAUGAAUAA
rnacentral:rRNA from 1 species